AUAUCAUUCUAGUAGGAAUUAUUUCUAAGUUAAUGUGUUUACUUAAUUUAUACUCUACCUUUCCACAAAAAGGCACCCAAGGUCAAAUGCUGGGAACUAUGAGCAAUGACUGGAAUACAAUCAGACUGAAAACUACCGGUUGAAUAAUGCUUGACAGGAUAAUAUUUGAAUGAUUACACUGAAAGAUAAACAACUUUUUUCUUGAACUUGAGGAAAACUUUUCCACAGAAAUGCUAUUGGAACCUAUUCAGCUUUCCAGAACUCAGAAGGAAUCUUUUCACACAUUAAAAGCUGUCAUUUUGAGGAAAUGCAAAUAUAUAAAAGUACAGAUUGACUACAGUUGUUGACACCCUAUCUUUGCCAUCUUCUUCUACUGCCUGAAAUGGAUAGAAUUAUAAGAAAAAUUGGUUCAUAUUGAAGCCAGUAAAUUACGUGUUAGUAGGCUCAGCACUGGCAGGCUCUUUGGAGCCUUGUUAGUACUCCUGCCUCUAGUCAACUUGAUGCAACAUGCAGUAUUCCCAUGCCAAGAAGAGUGCACAUUUAGAC